GGGGAAUUUUCCCCAAUGGGCGAAAGCCUGACGGAGCAACGCCGCGUGAGGGAGGAAGGUCUUUGGAUUGUAAACCUCUUUUCUCAAGGAAGAUAAUGACGGUACUUGAGGAAUCAGCAUCGGCUAACUCCGUGCCAGCAGCCGCGGUAAUACGGGGGAUGCAAGCGUUAUCCGGAAUUAUUGGGCGUAAAGCGUCCGUAGGCGGCCAGGCAAGUUUGUUGUUAAAGCSUGCAGCUCAACUGCAUAUCGGCAAUGRAAACUGCUUGGCUAGAGUGUGGUAGGGGUAGAGGGAAUUCCCRGUGUAGCGGUGAAAUGCGUAGAUAUCGGGAAGAACACCAGUGGCGAAAGCGCUCUGCUGGGCCACAGCUGACGCUCAUGGACGAAAGCUA
rnacentral:rRNA from 1 species